rnacentral:rRNA from 1 species
AACACGUGAGUAACCUGCCCUUGACUCUGGGAUAAGCCUGGGAAACUGGGUCUAAUACCGGAUAUGACCAUCUGACGCAUGUCAUGGUGGUGGAAAGCUUUUGUGGUUUUGGAUGGACUCGCGGCCUAUCAGCUUGUUGGUGGGGUAAUGGCCUACCAAGGCGACGACGGGUAGCCGGCCUGAGAGGGUGACCGGCCACACUGGGACUGAGACACGGCCCAGACUCCUACGGGAGGCAGCAGUGGGGAAUAUUGCACAAUGGGCGGAAGCCUGAUGCAGCGACGCCGCGUGAGGGAUGACGGCCUUCGGGUUGUAAACCUCUUUCAGUAGGGAAGAAGCGAAAGUGACGGUACCUGCAGAAGAAGCGCCGGCUAACUACGUGCCAGCAGCCGCGGUAAUACGUAGGGCGCAAGCGUUAUCCGGAAUUAUUGGGCGUAAAGAGCUCGUAGGCGGUUUGUCGCGUCUGCUGUGAAAGACCGGGGCUCAACUCCGGUUCUGCAGUGGGUACGGGCAGACUAGAGUGCAGUAGGGGAGACUGGAAUUCCUGGUGUAGCGGUGAAAUGCGCAGAUAUCAGGAGGAACACCGAUGGCGAAGGCAGGUCUCUGGGCUGUAACUGACGCUGAGGAGCGAAAGCAUGGGGAGCGAACAGGAUUAGAUACCCUGGUAGUCCAUGCCGUAAACGUUGGGCACUAGGUGUGGGGGACAUUCCACGUUUUCCGCGCCGUAGCUAACGCAUUAAGUGCCCCGCCUGGGGAGUACGGCCGCAAGGCUAAAACUCAAAGGAAUUGACGGGGGCCCGCACAAGCGGCGGAGCAUGCGGAUUAAUUCGAUGCAACGCGAAGAACCUUACCAAGGCUUGACAUGAACCGGAAAGACCUGGAAACAGGUGCCCCGCUUGCGGUCGGUUUACAGGUGGUGCAUGGUUGUCGUCAGCUCGUGUCGUGAGAUGUUGGGUUAAGUCCCGCAACGAGCGCAACCCUCGUUCUAUGUUGCCAGCGCGUGAUGGCGGGGACUCAUAGGAGACUGCCGGGGUCAACUCGGAGGAAGGUGGGGACGACGUCAAAUCAUCAUGCCCCUUAUGUCUUGGGCUUCACGCAUGCUACAAUGGCCGGUACAAAGGGUUGCGAUACUGUGAGGUGGAGCUAAUCCCAAAAAGCCGGUCUCAGUUCGGAUUGGGGUCUGCAACUCGACCCCAUGAAGUCGGAGUCGCUAGUAAUCGCAGAUCAGCAACGCUGCGGUGAAUACGUUCCCGGGCCUUGUACACACCGCCCGUCAAG